CGGGUUAAUCUCAGUACUGAAAAUAAACAAAAAGCAUCAUAUAUGAGUACAUGCUGGGCACUAGGUUUCAAACAUCUUUGGUGGACAUCCUGGGAUACUCCUAGGAUGAAUUUAAACUGACUUGUGCAAAUUAGAGAGAAGUAGAAGAAACCACCAUGGUGAGAACUCUUGCUUCUUCCUCUAACCCCAUGAUUUCCUGUGCACUAAGAAAGCAUUCAGUCCUGGGAGGGUGCCUGCACAGCUUCGUUGUUUUCCAAAGCUGAAUGUGGAGCUCAGUUGAGGCAAAGAUGCUCUGUGGUCGUGUGGAGUGAACAGGCCCAGGAAACGAUUUCACUGCAUUCAGAGCGAAGAAAGGACGCUUUUGCUUGAGCACCUGGGCUGGAGGGGAGAGUUUGAAGAAAAUCCUGGAGAAGAUGUCUGUGCCUGUGGCUGUGAGGGGCCUGGGCCGAGUGUGAAUGUGCUGCACGGUGCAGCCACUGAGCCCUGUGAACUUCAACCCCGGCACUGUCUGGAAGUGAGAACCCGAGCUUUCUCCUGUCUCCCUGGCCACGGAACUCUAGAGUGCACUUGUGGACGUGGGUGCGACUGCCCCAGAGCCGGCAGCAGGAUGCCCCGGUGAUGUGGACUAGCCUGGCCCAGGCCCGC
rnacentral:lncRNA from 1 species